rnacentral:rRNA from 1 species
GACGAACGCUGGCGGCGUGCUUAACACAUGCAAGUCGAACGGAAAGGCCCUGCUUUUGUGGGGUGCUCGAGCGGCGAACGGGUGAGUAACACGUGAGUAACCUGCCCUUGACUUUGGGAUAACUUCAGGAAACUGGGGCUAAUACCGGAUAGGAGCUCCUGCUGCAUGGUGGGGGUUGGAAAGUUUCGGCGGUUGGGGAUGGACUCGCGGCUUAUCAGCUUGUUGGUGGGGUAGUGGCUUACCAAGGCUUUGACGGGUAGCCGGCCUGAGAGGGUGACCGGCCACAUUGGGACUGAGAUACGGCCCAGACUCCUACGGGAGGCAGCAGUGGGGAAUAUUGCACAAUGGGCGGAAGCCUGAUGCAGCAACGCCGCGUGCGGGAUGACGGCCUUCGGGUUGUAAACCGCUUUCGCCUGUGACGAAGCGUGAGUGACGGUAAUGGGUAAAGAAGCACCGGCUAACUACGUGCCAGCAGCCGCGGUGAUACGUAGGGUGCGAGCGUUGUCCGGAUUUAUUGGGCGUAAAGGGCUCGUAGGUGGUUGAUCGCGUCGGAAGUGUAAUCUUGGGGCUUAACCCUGAGCGUGCUUUCGAUACGGGUUGACUUGAGGAAGGUAGGGGAGAAUGGAAUUCCUGGUGGAGCGGUGGAAUGCGCAGAUAUCAGGAGGAACACCAGUGGCGAAGGCGGCUCUCUGGGCCUUUCCUGACGCUGAGGAGCGAAAGCGUGGGGAGCGAACAGGCUUAGAUACCCUGGUAGUCCACGCUGUAAACGGUGGGUACUAGGUGUGGGGUCCAUUCCACGGGUUCCGUGCCGUAGCUAACGCUUUAAGUACCCCGCCUGGGGAGUACGGCCGCAAGGCUAAAACUCAAAGGAAUUGACGGGGCCCCGCACAAGCGGCGGAGCAUGCGGAUUAAUUCGAUGCAACGCGUAGAACCUUACCUGGGUUUGACAUGGAUCGGGAGUGCUCAGAGAUGGGUGUGCCUCUUUUGGGGUCGGUUCACAGGUGGUGCAUGGCUGUCGUCAGCUCGUGUCGUGAGAUGUUGGGUUAAGUCCCGCAACGAGCGCAACCCUUGUUCACUGUUGCCAGCACGUUAUGGUGGGGACUCAGUGGAGACCGCCGGGGUCAACUCGGAGGAAGGUGGGGAUGACGUCAAGUCAUCAUGCCCCUUAUGUCCAGGGCUUCACGCAUGCUACAAUGGCUGGUACAGAGAGUGGCGAGCCUGUGAGGGUGAGCGAAUCUCGGAAAGCCGGUCUCAGUUCGGAUUGGGGUCUGCAACUCGACCUCAUGAAGUCGGAGUCGCUAGUAAUCGCAGAUCAGCAACGCUGCGGUGAAUACGUUCCCGGGGCUUGUACACACCGCCCGUCAAGUCAUGAAAGUUGGUAACACCCGAAGCCGGUGGCCUAACCGUUGUGGGGGAGCCGUCGAAGGUGGGACUGGUGAUUAGGACUAAGUCGUAACAAGGUAGCCGUACCGGAAGG